UGGGGAAUAUUGGACAAUGGGCGAAAGCCUGAUCCAGCCAUGCCGCGUGUGUGAAGAAGGUCUUCGGAUUGUAAAGCACUUUAAGUUGGGAGGAAGGGCAGUAAGCGAAUACCUUGCUGUCUUGACGUUACCGACAGAAUAAGCACCGGCUAACUCUGUGCCAGCAGCCGCGGUAAUACAGAGGGUGCAAGCGUUAAUCGGAAUUACUGGGCGUAAAGCGCGCGUAGGUGGUUCGUUAAGUUGAAUGUGAAAGCCCCGGGCUCGACCUGGGAACUGCAUCCAAAACUGGCGAGCUAGAGUAGGGCAGAGGGUGGUGGAAUUUCCUGUGUAGCGGUGAGUUGCGUAGAUAUAGGAAGGAACACCAGUGGCGAAGGCGACCACCUGGGCUCAUACUGACACUGAGGUGCGAAAGCGUGGGGAGCAAACAGG
rnacentral:rRNA from 1 species